UUCCAGACUCCUACGGGAGGCAGCAGUGGGGGAUAUUGCACAAUGGGGGGAACCCUGAUGCAGCGACGCCGCGUGGGUGAAGGAGCGUUUCGGCGCGUAAAGCCCUAUCGGCAGGGAAGAAGGAGGACGGUACCUGACUAAGAAGCCCCGGCUAACUACGUGCCAGCAACCGCGGUAAUACGUAGGGGGCAAGCGUUAUCCGGAUUUACUGGGUGUAAAGGGGGCGCAGACGGCAGCGCAAGCCAGGAGUGAAAGCCCGGGGCCCAACCCCGGGACUGCUCUUGGAACUGCGCGGCUGGAGCGCAGGAGGGGCAGGCGGAAUUCCUGGUGUAGCGGUGAAAUGCGUAGAUAUCAGGAGGAACACCGGUGGCGAAGGCGGCCUGCUGGACUGCGACUGACGUUGAGGCCCGAAAGCGUGGGGAGCAAACAGGAUUAGAUACCCCGGUAA
rnacentral:rRNA from 1 species